AGUGAACGCUGGCGGUAGGCCUAACACAUGCAAGUCGAACGGCAGCGCAGUAAGAGCUUGCUCUUACGGGUGGCGAGUGGCGGACGGGUGAGGAAUACAUCGGAAUCUACUUUUUCGUGGGGGAUAACGUAGGGAAACUUACGCUAAUACCGCAUACGACCUACGGGUGAAAGCAGGGGAUCUUCGGACCUUGCGCGAUUGAAUGAGCCGAUGUCGGAUUAGCUAGUUGGCGGGGUAAAGGCCCACCAAGGCGACGAUCCGUAGCUGGUCUGAGAGGAUGAUCAGCCACACUGGAACUGAGACACGGUCCAGACUCCUACGGGAGGCAGCAGUGGGGAAUAUUGGACAAUGGGCGCAAGCCUGAUCCAGCCACACCGCGUGGGUGAAGAAGGCCUUCGGGUUGUAAAGCCCUUUUGUUGGGAAAGAAAAGCAGCAGGUUAAUACCCCGCUGUUCUGACGGUACCCAAAGAAUAAGCACCGGCUAACUUCGUG
rnacentral:rRNA from 1 species